rnacentral:rRNA from 1 species
UACGUAGGCAGCGAGCGUUGUUCGGAGUUACUGGGCGUAAAGAGUGCGUAGGCGGUUUUCUAAGUUUGGUGUGAAAUCUCCCGGCUUAACUGGGAGGGUGCGUCGAAGACUGGAAGGCUUGAGUAUGGGAGAGGUAAGCGGAAUUCCUGGUGUAGCGGUGAAAUGCGUAGAUAUCAGGAGGAACACCUGCGGUGUAGACGGCUUACUGGACCAUCACUGACGCUGAGGCACGAAAGCGUGGGUAGCAAACAGG